rnacentral:pre_miRNA from 1 species
AAUUUAUACAAGGCAUGACUGUAAUAUAAUGAAUCUGAUUUUUCUGUGUGACUUGUGGAAUCAAACCUAUUUCUAUAUAAUCACAUCUUGUAUAUUA